AUGCCUUGAACUCAUGGCUAAGCAAAAUAAUGAUUUAGGGUGAUGCCUGAGUCCUCAUUGUCGUUGUGAGUGCAUAAAGGGUGCCCUUCCUGCUUAGGUAGGUCCCU
ensembl:snRNA U12 U12 minor spliceosomal RNA